UUUAAUGUAUACGGUGGAUGCCUUGGGUCUUUGUGCCGAUGAAGGACGUGUUAGGCUGCGUAAAGCUUCGGGGAGCUGCCAAGAAGCGCUAUUACCCGGAGAUUUCCGAAUGGGGGAACCCGAUCUACAGAAAUGUAAGGUCACCUGUUACUGAAAGUUUAUGGUUUUACCAUAGACCAUAGGUAUCAUUGGAGGGCACUCGGCGAAUUGAAACAACUUAGUAGCCGGAGGAACAAAAACUAAAUUUAAGUAUUUCCUAAGUAGCGGCGAGCGAAAAGGAAGAAGCCCAAACCCAAGCUUAGGUUAAAAAAGUUAAAAGCAUGAGGGUCUGUGUAACAACAGAUUCUAAGCUUUUAACUUACGAACUUGGGGGUUUUGGACAACCCGCGCCAGACACGCAAGUGGGCUGGAAAAGGUUACAAAUUUUUUCGGUAGAAAAACUUGGAUGAAAAGCCAGGCCAUAGAAGGUUAGAGCCCUGUAUUCGAAACCGAAAAAACCUUUUGGGUUGUUCCCGAGUAGCAUGGGACACGUGUAAUCCUGUGUGAAGAUAGCGGGACCAUCCGCGAAGGCUAAAUACGCAAAGACACCGAUAGUGAAGCAGUACCGUGAGGGAAAGGUGAAAAGAACCCCUGUUAGGGGAGUGAAAUAGAUUCUGAAACCGUAUACAAACAAACAGCCGAAGCCCAACAUUUAGUUGUGGGUGACGGUGUGCCUAUUGAAGAAUGAGCCAGCGAGUUAAUAUUGCGCGCAAGCUUAAGCAUCUCAGAUGUGGAGGCGUAGGGAAACCGAGUCUUAAAAGGGCGACCUAGUACGUAUUAUUAGACCCGAAGCCAGGUGAGCUAACCAUGGGCAGGAUGAAGCUUGGGUAAAACCAAGUGGAGGUCCGAACCGGUGUGUGAGGAAAAACGCUCGGAUGACCUGUGGUUAGGGGUGAAACGCUAAUCGAACCUGGCGAUAGCUGGUUCUCCUCGAAAUAUAUUUAGGUAUAGCCUCAAGAUAAAGCAUGUAAGAGGUAGAGAUACUGAAAUGGAUGUGGGCCCGCAAGGGUACCCAUCUAUACCAAACUCCGAAUGCUUACAUGUGUUCCUUGGGAGUCAGUGCUGGGGAGCAAGUUUCUAGCACGAGAGGGCAACAACCCAGACCAUCGGAUAAGGUCCCUAAUUUAUGCUAAGUGGGUAAGGAAGUGGAAUUGUUAAGACAGCUAGGAGGUUGGCUUAGAAGCAGCCAUCCUUUAAAGAAAGCGUAACAGCUCACUAGUUUAACGAUUCUGCGCCGACAAAUUCAACGGGGCUAAAGCAUAAAACCGAAGCCGUGGACUUUUGCCGGGGAACAUUGGAAGGUAAAGGAAUUUCUAACAAGUAAAGUAUCUUUACGGUUAGUCUUUUUUUGCCUUUCGAAGUUUCCGGCAAAGGUAGUAGAGGAGCUUUGAUGUUGCGGUGAAGGUACACCCGCGAGGGGUGCUGGAGCGGCAUCAAGUGAGAAUGCUGGCAUGAGUAACGAGAGGGUGGUGAAAACCCACCCCGCCGAAAGUCUAAGGUUUCCUCCGCUAUGGCAGUCAUCGGAGGGUUAGUCGAUCCUAAGGCGAGGCCGAAAGGCGUAGUCGAUGGACAGCAGGUUAAUAUUCCUGCACUUUCAGGUAAUCGCUAUCACCAAUGGAGGGACGGAGUUUGACCAUUCAAGCCCAUUAAGGAUUUGGGUCCAAAAAGCAAAGCAGUUCGUGUAGGCAAAUCCGCACGAGCGUUUAUCAGAGCUGAUGGAAAAGAUUUCGCAAGAAGUCUGAUUUGAACUGGUUAAGGUUCCAAGAAAAGCUUCUAGGGAGAUUAUUUGAAAUCCGUACCGCAAACCGACACAGGUGGACAGGUAGAGAAUACCAAGGCGAACGAGAUAACCGUGGCCGAGGAACUAGGCAAAUUACAUCCGUAACCUCGGAAAAAGGAUGCCCUGCCGCAAGGUAGGGGGCACAAAAAUGGCUCAAGCGACUGUUUAACAAAAACACAGGUCUCUGCUUAACCCGUAAGGGGACGUAUAGGGGCCGACGCCUGCCCAGUGCCCGUAAGUUAAAUCUGGAGGUCAGUCCAUCUUGUAUGGACGAAGCUUUCGGUACAAGCUCGGGUGAACGGCAGCAGUAACUAUGAAAAGUCGUAGUUGAGAACAUCCUCUUAAGUAUUAAAACUUUAAGAGUAAUCGAUGUUCCUGCAGAUGCAGAAAAAUGUGGCUAUAUGCUGGAAAAUCCGGAGUAUCCGUCAAUACCUAUAAUAAAUUUAUAGGUGACAAUUUGUACGGUGCGGACAAUCAGCAGGAAAGAUUUAAUCUAACUUAGAUUAAAUAUCCUCAGAGACUAUACGCCACAGUCUUAAAUGACAUGAUAUAGUCCGACCUUUGUGGCGACACAAAGAGCUCUUCAGAAAUGUGAGAGCCCGGUUA
rnacentral:rRNA from 1 species